rnacentral:rRNA from 1 species
AGAGUUUGAUCCUGGCUCAGGAUGAACGCUAGCUACAGGCUUAACACAUGCAAGUCGAGGGGCAGCAUGGUCUUAGCUUGCUAAGGCCGAUGGCGACCGGCGCACGGGUGAGUAACGCGUAUCCAACCUGCCUUACACUCUUGGACUGCCUUCUGAAAGGGAGAUUAAUACAAGAUGUUAUCAUGAGUAAGCAUUUUCGCAUGAUUAAAGGUUUACCGGUGUAAGAUGGGGAUGCGUUCCAUUAGAUAGUAGGCGGGGUAACGGCCCACCUAGUCUUCGAUGGAUAGGGGUUCUGAGAGGAAGGUCCCCCACAUUGGAACUGAGACACGGUCCAAACUCCUACGGGAGGCAGCAGUGAGGAAUAUUGGUCAAUGGACGAGAGUCUGAACCAGCCAAGUAGCGUGAAGGAUGAAGGUUCUAUGGAUUGUAAACUUCUUUUAUACGGGAAUAAACGAAUCCACGCGUGGAUUUUUGCAUGUACCGUAUGAAUAAGGAUCGGCUAACUCCGUGCCAGCAGCCGCGGUAAUACGGAGGAUCCGAGCGUUAUCCGGAUUUAUUGGGUUUAAAGGGAGCGUAGAUGGGUUGUUAAGUCAGUUGUGAAAGUUUGCGGCUCAACCGUAAAAUUGCAAUUGAUACUGGCAGUCUUGAGUACAGUUGAGGUAGGCGGAAUUCGUGGUGUAGCGGUGAAAUGCUUAGAUAUCACGAAGAACUCCGAUUGCGAAGGCAGCUUACUAACCUGUAACUGACAUUGAUGCUCGAAAGUGUGGGUAUCAAACAGGAUUAGAUACCCUGGUAGUCCACACGGUAAACGAUGAAUACUCGCUGUAGGCGAUAUACAGUCUGCGGCCAAGCGAAAGCAUUAAGUAUUCCACCUGGGGAGUACGCCGGCAACGGUGAAACUCAAAGGAAUUGACGGGGGCCCGCACAAGCGGAGGAACAUGUGGUUUAAUUCGAUGAUACGCGAGGAACCUUACCCGGGCUUAAAUUGCAACCGAAUAUGGCGGAAACGCUAUAGCUAGCAAUAGCGGUUGUGAAGGUGCUGCAUGGUUGUCGUCAGCUCGUGCCGUGAGGUGUCGGCUUAAGUGCCAUAACGAGCGCAACCCUUGCCGAUAGUUACUAACAGGUCAUGCUGAGGACUCUGUCGGGACUGCCAUCGUAAGAUGUGAGGAAGGUGGGGAUGACGUCAAAUCAGCACGGCCCUUACGUCCGGGGCUACACACGUGUUACAAUGGGGGGUACAGAGGGCUGCUACCACGCAAGUGGAUGCCAAUCCCAAAAACCUCUCUCAGUUCGGAUUGAAGUCUGCAACCCGACUUCAUGAAGCUGGAUUCGCUAGUAAUCGCGCAUCAGCCACGGCGCGGUGAAUACGUUCCCGGGCCUUGUACACACCGCCCGUCAAGCCAUGGGAGCCGGGGGUACCUGAAGUGCGUAACCGCAAGGAGCGCCCUAGGGUAAAACUGGUGACUGGGGCUAAGUCGUAACAAGGUAGCCG